GUGGGGAAUCUUGCGCAAUGGGCGAAAGCCUGACGCAGCCAUGCCGCGUGAAUGAUGAAGGUCUUAGGAUUGUAAAAUUCUUUCACCGGGGACGAUAAUGACGGUACCCGGAGAAGAAGCUCCGGCUAACUUCGUGCCAGCAGCCGCGGUAAUACGAAGGGGGCUAGCGUUGCUCGGAAUUACUGGGCGCAAAGUGCGCGUAGGCGGACAGCUUAGUCAGAGGUGAAAGCCCAGGGCUCAACCUUGGAAUUGCCUUUGAUACUGGCUGUCUGGAGUUUGGGAGAGGUGAGUGGAACUCCGAGUGUAGAGGUGAAAUUCGUAGAUAUUCGGAAGAACACCAGUGGCGAAGGCGACUCACUGGCCCAAUACUGACGCUGAGGCGCGAAAGCGUGGGGAGCAAACAGGAUUAGAAACCCCAGUAGUCC
rnacentral:rRNA from 1 species